UGCCCCCGGGCAGCCCAGCCCAGCCCAGGCCGUCGCUGGCGGCGGAGCUCCCGCCCGGUCUCCCUUCUCUCCCGAGAGGCUGGGAGGCAGCCAUGGCUCCUUUCCCGGCCGCCCUCUCCCAGCCGGGGCAGGCCGCGCUGCUCCCGCCGGCUCCUCCGUUGCAGAAAGAUGGAGAAAUGAUGGGCGAGACUCUGCGUUGCAGGGUCCUGGAAAAACCUGGCACCUGCCAAACUACGGACCAGCUUUCUUUUGAGUGUCCCUUUGGACUUUGAAGCUGUGCAUUGAUGUUGGAAGGAGGCAGGUGGCAGGGAUAUCAGCUAGCCUGAACUAGCCUUUACUUUGGAACUGAAAUGAUGAGAGAGCAAGAUCAAACACAGAAAUGUUCUCCAGCCAGCGAGUGACAAGGCUAUGGAUGGGCAUAUUUAAAGAGAAUCAAGAAGCACAUUGCUAAGAGACUUCUAGGUACUUGGAGAGGAACAUCGGAUGUGAAAUGCUAACAAAAUGAACUCCUUAGAAAUUCUAAGUCUCACUUCUACUGUAGAAAAUACUUUAUCUUACUCCCUUGAUCUUUCUGUUUGUAGUGGUUUUGACAUGUUCAUUAUUAAACAAAUGAUAAGACA